rnacentral:snRNA from 1 species
UUGGCAUUCUGGCACAGCUUCAGCUAAGAUCAUGUGUAGUAUCUGUUCUUUGCAGUGUAAUUUCUGCAACGGUCCCUAAUUUGGGACCAAUGAAAUUACCUGUAUUUUUCCAACUGGGACGGGUGCUGUGAGCUUGCUCAGCCCCGUCCGCGGGUAGGCCUCGUAUUGCAUUACUUCGAGGAUUGGCCCAUUAAUA